CAAAUUACCCACUCCCGGCACGGGGAGGUAGUGACGAAAAAUAACAAUACGGGACUCUUUUGAGACCCCGUAAUUGGAAUGAGUACACUCUAAAUCCUUUAACGAGGAUCUAUUGGAGGGCAAGUCUGGUGCCAGCAGCCGCGGUAAUUCCAGCUCCAAUAGCGUAUAUUAAAGUUGUUGCGGUUAAAAAGCUCGUAGUUGGAUCUCAGUUCCAGACGGGCGGUCCACCUAACGGUGGUUACUGCCUGGCCUGAACAGCCAGCCGGUUUCCCUAGAUGAUCUUCACCGGUUGUCUUGGGUGACCGGCACGUUUACUUUGAAAAAAUUAGAGUGCUCAAAGCAGGCGUGUAGCCUGAAUAAUGGUGCAUGGAAUAAUGGAAUAGGACUUCGUUUCUAUUUUGUUGGUUUUCGGAACACGAGGUAAUGAUUAAGAGGGACAGACGGGGGCAUUCGUAUUGCGACGCUAGAGGUGAAAUUCUUGGACCGUCGCAAGACGAACUACUGCGAAAGCAU
rnacentral:rRNA from 1 species